rnacentral:rRNA from 1 species
CAAGCCGAGCGGUAGAGAUUCUUCGGAAUCUUGAGAGCGGCGUACGGGUGCGGAACACGUGUGCAACCUGCCUUUAUCUGGGGGAUAGCCUUUCGAAAGGAAGAUUAAUACCCCAUAAUAUAUUGAAUGGCAUCAUUUGAUAUUGAAAACUCCGGUGGAUAGAGAUGGGCACGCGCAAGAUUAGAUAGUUGGUGAGGUAACGGCUCACCAAGUCAACGAUCUUUAGGGGGCCUGAGAGGGUGAUCCCCCACACUGGUACUGAGACACGGACCAGACUCCUACGGGAGGCAGCAGUGAGGAAUAUUGGACAAUGGGUGAGAGCCUGAUCCAGCCAUCCCGCGUGAAGGACGACGGCCCUAUGGGUUGUAAACUUCUUUUGUAUAGGGAUAAACCUAGAUACGUGUAUCUAGCUGAAGGUACUAUACGAAUAAGCACCGGCUAACUCCGUGCCAGCAGCCGCGGUAAUACGGAGGGUGCAAGCGUUAUCCGGAUUUAUUGGGUUUAAAGGGUCCGUAGGCGGAUUUGUAAGUCAGUGGUGAAAUCUCACAGCUUAACUGUGAAACUGCCAUUGAUACUGCAAGUCUUGAGUGUUGUUGAAGUAGCUGGAAUAAGUAGUGUAGCGGUGAAAUGCAUAGAUAUUACUUAGAACACCAAUUGCGAAGGCAGGUUACUAAGCAACAACUGACGCUGAUGGACGAAAGCGUGGGGAGCGAACAGGAUUAGAUACCCUGGUAGUCCACGCCGUAAACGAUGCUAACUCGUUUUUGGGAUGAAAAUUUCAGAGACUAAGCGAAAGUGAUAAGUUAGCCACCUGGGGAGUACGAACGCAAGUUUGAAACUCAAAGGAAUUGACGGGGGCCCGCACAAGCGGUGGAUUAUGUGGUUUAAUUCGAUGAUACGCGAGGAACCUUACCAAGGCUUAAAUGGGAAAUGACAGGUUUAGAAAUAGACUUUUCUUCGGACAUUUUUCAAGGUGCUGCAUGGUUGUCGUCAGCUCGUGCCGUGAGGUGUUAGGUUAAGUCCUGCAACGAGCGCAACCCCUGUCACUAGUUGCCAUCAUUAAGUUGGGGACUCUAGUGAGACUGCCUACGCAAGUAGAGAGGAAGGUGGGGAUGACGUCAAAUCAUCACGGCCCUUACGCCUUGGGCCACACACGUAAUACAAUGGCCGGUACAGAGGGCAGCUACACUGCGAAGUGAUGCAAAUCUCGAAAGCCGGUCUCAGUUCGGAUUGGAGUCUGCAACUCGACUCUAUGAAGCUGGAAUCGCUAGUAAUCGCGCAUCAGCCAUGGCGCGGUGAAUACGUUCCCGGGCCUUGUACACACCGCCCGUCAAGCCAUGGAAGCUGGGGGUACCUGAAGUCGGUCACCGC